rnacentral:rRNA from 1 species
AUUGAACGCUGGCGGCAUGCCUUACACAUGCAAGUCGAACGGCAGCACGGGAGCAAUCCUGGUGGCGAGUGGCGAACGGGUGAGUAAUAUAUCGGAACGUGCCCAGUCGUGGGGGAUAACGCAGCGAAAGCUGUGCUAAUACCGCAUACGAUCUAAGGAUGAAAGCGGGGGAUCGCAAGACCUCGCGCGAUUGGAGCGGCCGAUAUCAGAUUAGCUAGUUGGUGGGGUAAAGGCCCACCAAGGCGACGAUCUGUAGCUGGUCUGAGAGGACGACCAGCCACACUGGAGCUGAGACACGGUCCAGACUCCUACGGGAGGCAGCAGUGGGGAAUUUUGGACAAUGGGCGCAAGCCUGAUUCAGCAAUGCCGCGUGCAGGAUGAAGGCCUUCGGGUUGUAAACUGCUUUUGUACGGAACGAAACGGCCCUUUCUAAUACAGGGGGCUAAUGACGGUACCGUAAGAAUAAGCACCGGCUAACUACGUGCCAGCAGCCGCCGUAAUAC